rnacentral:rRNA from 1 species
GACGAACGCUGGCGGCGUGCCUAAUACAUGCAAGUCGAACGAGAGCGACCGGUGCUUGCACUGGUCAAUCUAGUGGCGAACGGGUGAGUAACACGUGGGUAACCUGCCCAUCAGAGGGGGAUAACAUCCGGAAACGGAUGCUAAAACCGCAUAGGUCUUCGAGCCGCAUGGCUUGAAGAGGAAAAGAGGCGCAAGCUUCUGCUGAUGGAUGGACCCGCGGUGCAUUAGCUAGUUGGUGAGGUAACGGCUCACCAAGGCCGUGAUGCAUAGCCGACCUGAGAGGGUGAUCGGCCACAUUGGGACUAAGACACGGCCCAAACUCCUACAGGAGGCAGCAGUAGGGAAUCUUCCGCAAUGGACGCAAGUCUGACGGAGCAACGCCGCGUGAGUGAAGAAGGUUUUCGGAUCGUAAAACUCUGUUGUUAGAGAAGAACAAGUGCUAGAGUAACUGUUAGCGCCUUGACGGUAUCUAACCAGAAAGCCACGGCUAACUACGUG